CCCUACUCUAAUAAGGCUUUUAUAUCUGGAGCUCAUAGGUGGGAGAUAAAGUAUACAUACUUACAAGACAUUUAUUGUAUAGUCAAACCAUGGAUCCAAAGUAACAAGUCAAUAAGUCAAAUCAAGAUGUGCAUGUGCGGCAAAUGAAUGGUAUAUGAUGAUAAUAAUGGUGAAAGUCUAAUUCUACUUUUGCGCUUUUGAGGGGAUACAUACAUUCCUUGCUCUUUUGAAACUUUUUGAGGAGAAUGAGAUGCUCUAUAUUUUCUUUUUUCUCUCAGGUGGGUAUCUUGUACCCCUAAUUCUACUGUCGGACACUUGUCCAUUUUUACCUCUCGUCUCACUUUUUCUUUUCUUUCGUGGUUCCGAGCACUUGCCCCUUUUUAUUUCCUCAUAUUUUCUCUCUCUUUUUUUUAGAGCACUCAUCUCAUAAAAUAAUAUAGCAAGUGUUAGUAACAAAGAUAUCUUGAGCAUUUAUUUAACAGGGGAAAACAGAAAUAUUUUUGGCUAUUCUCUCCCGGAUUAGGAGUAGAAUAUUUUUGGGUGGUUCUGGAGAUGAAAAUGAGUGGAUAUAUGUGGAUGCGUACUUCCGGAGUAGAAGCAGCAUGUGUGAGUGAACGUGCAAGUGAAUCUUGAUUUUAACCACAUGACAAGCUCCUAAGGGUCUACACAGCUUGACCACACUCAAUGCUCAUAAGCAGUAAAAAGUAAAUGUGUGGCUCAAAGUCUAGCAAGCAA
rnacentral:lncRNA from 1 species